rnacentral:rRNA from 1 species
GACGAACGCUGGCGGCGUGCUUAACACAUGCAAGUCGAACGGAAAGGCCCUGCUUUUGGGGGGUGCUCGAGUGGCGAACGGGUGAGUAACACGUGAGUAACCUGCCCUUGACUUUGGGAUAACUUCAGGAAACUGGGGCUAAUACCGGAUCGGAGCUUCUCCUGCCUGGUGGGGGUUGGAUAGUUUCGGCGGUUGGGGAUGGUCUCCCGGCUUAUCAGCGUGUUGGUGGGGUAGUGGCUUACCACGGCUUGGACGGGUAGCCGGCCUGAGAGGGUGACCGGCGACAUUGGGACUGAGAUACGGCCCAGACUCCUACGGGGGGCAGCAGUGGGGAAUAUUGCACAAUGGGCGGAAGCCUGAUGCAGCAACGCCGCGUGCGGGAUGACGGCCUUCGGGUUGUAAACCGCUUUCGCCUGUGACGAAGCGUGAGUGACGGUAAUGGGUAAAGAAGCACCGGCUAACUACGUG